UAGUCCUGGACUAGGUCUAGCCUUGGCAGAAGCAAGGGAGCCACUAAGCCAAACUCCCUGUACAGACAGACCAUGUUUCAAGGCUGGAAGUAGUGCCCUGGCAACACACAAAAGGAACGGUGAAAUGUGGUAGCAACUGCCCUUGCUAAUCACCGUAACCUCAGCUGAGAGAGCAGAGGAAGUGAAAUCCAAGAUGCAGCUCAGUUCAUCAAAGCUUAGCAGGUCCCCUCAGCUGCCUUUUCAUGCCUGCCACACAGACUACAGUAGAAGAAAACCUGACCUGGUCUUUGAAGUUAAGAGCUAAGAAAGCUUCCUAUAGCAGUAUCUUCCGUGGCACUUACCACAUUCUAUCUGGUAUUACAGUUAUUUGUAUGCAAUUAAUCACUCUUAGAUUGUAUGUUCCUGGAGGGCAGAGUAUGCCCAUUCAUAUUUGUAUCUUCUUCCUUCUGCUCUUGGCACCUAACACAGUGCCUUGCACACAGAAACAAUAAAUGAUUGUUGAGUGAAUAAGUAAACCUGAUU
rnacentral:sRNA from 1 species